rnacentral:rRNA from 1 species
AUUAUUAGUAAGACCUGCUCCAUGCUUAAGUAAAUAGCCGCAGAAUUUUUGUGCUAAGGUAGCAUAAUCACUAACCUUUUAAUUGAAGGCUUGUAUGAAAGGUCCAACAUUUAAAUUUUUUUUUUAUUUAAAUUUUUUUAAAUUAUAUUAAACAUAAAAAUAUGUUUAUUUUUUUAAAAGACGACAAGACCCUAUUGAACUUUACUUUUGUUUAGCUGGGGCAGCUAUUUAAUAAAUAUUUUAUAUUUUUAUUAAUUUUUUUUAAUGACCCAAUAUAAUUUGAUUUCAUGAAUUAAGUUACCAUAGGGAUAACAGCGUAAUUUAUUUUUAAAGUUCAUAUUAAAAAAAAAGAUUGCGACCUCGAUGUUGAAUUAAUGUUACAAAUUUACGCAAUAGUAAAAAUUGUAGGUCUGUUCGACCUUUAAAACUUUACGUGAUC